UGGACGUAUUCUUAUGGUCCGUAUAUGAUAAAAUAAAAUAAAAACAAAAGACUCUGAGUGGGUUAGAAGGACCAAUGCAAUUCGGCGACGACCGCCUGAAACAGAAGAGGAGGCGGAGACAUCAUCAUCAUCAUCAUCAUCAUCGAUCGAUCGAUCGAUCGUUGAGCCUUCGUUGAAGAGAAGAUGAGACUCAUCGUCGUCGUCUCAAGAAGAAGCUGUCUAUUACUAGUAGUAGGUGGUGCUCCUUUUCUCUGUUCUCUGCUACGGUUAUCGCUCGCCACGGUUGUCCUCAAUUCUAUCUCUGCCUCUUUUCCGGAUCUCCCUGCUAAAUUUGACGGCUCCGUGACCAAAAACGGAAUAUGUGGAGCUCUAUACGUGGCAGAUCCUCUCGACGGUUGCUCACCGCUGCUCCACGCAUCCAACAACUUGACUCAACAACAACAACAGAGGAGGACUACAAGGACUAACUUCGCUUUGAUUAUACGAGGCGAAUGUUCUUUUGAGGAUAAGCUCCUCAACGCACAGAAGUCAGGUUUUCGUGCUGUCAUUGUCUAUGACAACUUUGACAACCAAGAUCUCGUCGUUAUGAAGGUGAACCCUCAGGACAUUACAGUUGUUGCAGUCUUCGUUUCAAAUGUCGCCGGUGUGAUUUUGAGCAAGUAUGCCCGAGGCCGAGAUGGUGAAUGCUGCCUUUAUCCCCCUACCAAAGGGAGCGCUUGGACUGUCCUCGCCAUCUCUUUCUUCUCUCUUCUUCUGAUCAUCACGUUCCUCUUGCUUGCCUUCUUUGCUCCCAGACACUGGACCCUAUGGCGUCGAGGCACCCACAACCGGACCAUCAGGGUUGAUGCUAACCUUGUCCACUCAUUCCCAUCCUUCAAAUUCACUACUGAUUCUUCUUCUCGCCACAAUCCCGGGGAUACUUGUCCAAUAUGUCUCGAGGAUUAUAUCUCUGGAGAAACCCUCAGACUUCUCCCCUGCCAACAUGCUUUUCACUUGAGUUGCAUCGACUCUUGGUUGACAAAAUGGGGUACAUCUUGCCCAGUAUGCAAGCAUGACAUAAGCUCCGAGACUUUCUCUUCUGAGGUACAUAAACGAGAGUGCCCUAGAACGGAUACAAGUACGAGUAGAUUUGCAUUUGCUCAAUCCAGUCAAAGCCAUUAAGCUUUAUUAUCAGCUUGUAGCAGCUGAACACACAUAUCGGUGCUCGGUUUUGUCAUAUGUGGAUCGGUUCCAGGUUUGCAUCGAUCUGAGGGUCCAAAUGAUAGUGAACGGGUAAAAUCAUGGUGGGAUAAGUAUAGGUUAUUUAUUGUUCUCUGCUGCUCUUCCUGAAGCUUCAUUCUUUACUUUGUCUGACAAGAAGAGGUAGAGAAGAUGUCUCAAUCAAUAUCCAGCCCAAAGGCAGAACAAGUUGUUAGUGUUGAUGUGAGCCAAGCCAAGGCUCUCCUCCAGUCUGGGCAUCAAUAUCUUGAUGUUAGGACUCAGGAAGAGUUUAAGAGAGGGCAUUGUCAGGCAACUAAGAUCGUCAACAUUCCCUACAUGGUCAACACACCUCAAGGAGGUAGAGGGAAGAAUCAAGACUUCUUGGAACAGGUCUCUUCUCUUCUCAACCCAGCUGAUGAUAUCCUUGUGGGUUGUCAGAGUGGAGCCAGAUCCUUAAAUGCCACAACUGAACUUCUUGCUGCAGGUUACAAGAAAGUGAGAAACGUGGGAGGUGGCUACAUGGCUUGGGUGGAUCAUAGCUUUCCAAUCAACAAGGAAGAGCCAUCAGCAAACUAAGAUUCUUUAUCAAAUAAUGACAGAGUGUGUGUGUGUACUGUGUGUGAUGUAAUCAAUCAAUUUCUACUUUAGAAUGUCCCAGUUUCUUGUUUGUUGUUAUUAAAACUUUAUGCCAAAAUCAAUAAAAAUUUGCUGUGUUUUAUCAAA